rnacentral:rRNA from 1 species
GACGAACGCUGGCGGCGUGCCUAAUACAUGCAAGUCGAGCGAGACUCUUCGGAGUCUAGCGGCGGACGGGUGAGUAACACGUGGGCAACCUGCCUGUAAGACUGGGAUAACACCGGGAAACCGGUGCUAAUACCGGAUAAUCCUUUUCCUCUCAUGAGGAAAAGCUGAAAGUCGGUUUCGGCUGACACUUACAGAUGGGCCCGCGGCGCAUUAGCUAGUUGGUGAGGUAACGGCCCACCAAGGCGACGAUGCGUAGCCGACCUGAGAGGGUGAUCGGCCAAACUGGGACUGAGACACGGCCCAGACUCCUACGGGAGGCAGCAGUAGGGAAUCUUCCACAAUGGACGAAAGUCUGAUGGAGCAACGCCGCGUGAGCGAUGAAGGCCUUCGGGUCGUAAAGCUCUGUUGUUAGGGAAGAACAAGUACCGGAGUAACUGCCGGUACCUUGACGGUACCUAACCAGAAAGCCACGGCUAACUACGUGCCAGCAGCCGCCGUAA